ensembl:lncRNA
AUGGACGAAAACAAUAUGAUCGACAUUUGGAGGGAAAGAAAUGAGAAAAAAAAGAAUUCUCAAGGAGACAGAUAGUUGGGAAUUUUAUGUGUAAGACAAGGAUUGAUUUUAUUUUAUGCACGAGAAACACAAAAAGAUUUAUAGAAGGGAUAAAGUACGAAGAAACAAGUUUAAGCGAUCAUAAGCCCCUGUUCGUACACAUAGAUUGGAGGGUAGUCAAAAGAGGGCCAGGGGUAUGGGUUUUAAAUAUAGCGAUUUUACAGAAUGAAGAGUAUAUUGAAAAAAUAAAAGAGAUAAUGGAAAACGAAAAAGAAAACGGGAUGUUCAUAGAAGAUAAAAGAAUAUGGUGGGAAAAUGUAAAAUAUGAAGUAAAGAAAUUUACAAUAAAAUAUUGUACGCUUAUACAGAAAAGGAAAAAGGAUAAGAAAAGAGAAAUAAGGGAACGGUGGGAGAAGGAAAAAGAUGUACAGAAAUUGAAAGCGAUAGAAGAAGAAUUGCAGGAAAUAGAAGAAAGUAAAUAUCAAGGCGCAAGGUUGCGAAGUAAAGCAAAGUCUAUGGUGGAGGGGGAAAAAUGCACAAAAUUCUUCUUCGAUUUAGAAAGAAGGAAGGGAAAAGCCGAGACAAUAAAAGGAAUUAAAGGGGAGAAUGGGAAAGUAGUAGAGGAAAAUGAGGAAAUUCUAAAAGAAGUUAAAGUAUAUUACGAGAAAUUAUUUAGCUCAGAGGGAGUAGGAGAAAAGGAGAAGGGAUUUUUAUUAAAUCAAAUAGAAGCAAGGGUAGGAGAGGAAGAAAAAAAUGAAUGUGACAAAGAAAUAAGGGAGGAAGAAAUAGAAAAAGCCAUAGCACAACUAAAUAGAAAGAAAAGCCCGGGAAUAGAUGUAUUGGGGGGUGAGAAGAAAAAAUGAAUGUGACAAAGAAAUAAGGGAGGAAGAAAUAGAAAAAGCCAUAGCACAACUAAAUAGAAAGAAAAGCCCGGGAAUAGAUGUAUUGGGGGGUGAGUUUUAUAUUGUUUUUAAGGAUGUUUUAACCAGCACUUUGAAAAAUGUAUACGAUGAGAUAUUUAAGAAAGGGAAAAUAAACAAAAGAAUGGGAAUGGGAGUGGUAAAGUUGAUAUAUAAAAGAAAAGGGGAAAGAGAAGAUUUAAGAAACUAUAGACCGAUCACAAUGCUUAAUACUGACUUAAAGAUUUUAGCGAAAAUUUUAGCAAAUAGACUAAAAGA